rnacentral:rRNA from 1 species
AAUAUUGUACAAUGGGGGCAAUACUGAUCCAGCCAUGCCGCGUGUGUGAAGAAGGUCUNCGGUUUNUNAAGCACUUUAAGUUGGGNGGCAGGGAUAUAGGCACAUACCCUGAAGUGUUGACGUUACCACCAGAAUAAGCACCGGCUAACCCUGUGCCAGCAGCCGAGGUAAUACAUAGGGUGCCAGCGUUAAUCGGAAUUACUGGUCGUAAGUCUCGCUGAGGUGGUACAGUAAGAGUGGUGUGAAAUCCCCGGGCUUAACCUGGUAACUGCUUACAUAACUGCUGAGCUAGAGUACUGAAGAGGGUGGUGGAAUUUCCUGUGUAUCGGUGAAAUGCGUAGAUAUAGGAAGGAACACCAGUGGCGAAGGCGGCUACCUAGGCUGAUACUGACACUGAAGUGCGAAGGCGUGGGGAGCAAACA